rnacentral:ncRNA from 1 species
GAGGCGUCGGCUUAAGUGCCGUAACGAACGCAACCCCUGUGCUAUGUUAAAUAUCCAUAGCAGACUGCCACGGUUUUUUCCGUGGAGGAAGGAGGGGAUGAUGUCAAAUCAGCAUGGCGCUUAUAUCUUGGGCUACACACAUGGCGUAAUGGGCAAUACAACGGGAUGCCAAGGCGCGAGCCGGAGCUAAUCCUUAUAAAGUUGUCCUCAGUUCGGAUUGCAGGCUGCAAUUCGCCUGCAUGAAGGGGAGUUGAUAGUAAUCGCGGAUCAGCAUCACCGCGGUGAAUACGUUCUCGAUUCUUGUACACACUGCCCGUCAAGUCAACAAAGUUAGUAGUGCCCGAAGUAGGUACCCACAACCGCAAGGAUUGGGCCUCCUAAGGUAAGACUAGCGAUGGGGGCUAAGUCGUAACAAGGUAUCCGUACUGGAAGGUGCGGAUGGAUCACCUCCUUA